CUCCUUUUCAUCUAGACAGAGGACCAGCUCUCUCUUCGGCAGGAGGAAGGCAAGAGGCUCCUGGACGAGGCCUAUGUUCACAUGCCCAAGGUUUCCGUACUUGGAGAGCUGAGUGGGUGGAAUGCCUGACCCAGAAGGUCUGUGCUAUCUGAGCUGGUGGAAAAAGGACUUGGAGACAGCGAUUUAAAUAAGGAACAAGGUCUUCCAGGAAGACAGUGCAGAACUGGACAAAGAGCUCUUGCUCCCCACUGCUGAAAGCAGCCUCUUCUGCGCGAUGGAAGGCCAGGAUUGUUUUGGUUACCUAGGAGACAAGGGCACCAUCAGUCACUAGAGUAGUCUGUCACCAUCUGCAGUACCUGAAACUAAGCACAGAUGUGCAGCCCUCAAGUUUUCAUAAAGAAAGUCAUUCCAAACAGCAGAAUGUGUGGCUUGUUUUGAACCAAAAGAAUAUGGCAAAGGUGAAGGAUUUUGCAGAUGUUAUUAAAGCCCCUCAUCAGAUGACUUUGAAUGGAUCAAGGGAUAUCCUGGGUGGGCCCGACCUAAUCAAAUAACCCUUUUAAAAAAGGGUUGAGGAUUUCCCUAAAAGAAGAGACUCAACACAGGAGAGCUGCUCUCUGUCGGCCUUGAAGAAUCAGAAAGUCACACUAUGUAUGGAGUGAGAUGGCUUCUAGGACCUGAGGGCUUUAAACCUACAACUGCAAAGAAGAGAAAUCUGCCAACAUGAAUGAGCUUGAAGGGGGACCCCAAGCUUCAGAUGAGACUGCAGCCUGGCCAACACUUUGCCUGUUAUCUUGUGAGAUCUGGAGCAGAGGACCCAGGACUCCCAAUCCAAAGAAACUGGAACACGAUAAAUGUGUGUUGUUUUAGGCUGCUACGUUUGUAGGAGUGUUAUGCAGCUGUAGAAAACUAACACAUUACUGAAUCAUUAUUACAGGUGAGGCACUUCAUGAAUUGUUCUAGGUCCCAUGAUGGGGGACUAACCAGAGCUUUUUAAUCAGAAAAAGUCUCUAAAACCCCCUAAGCCUAAGUCUGCAAAUACCUAUCACAUAGACUGGUUUAUUUUUUACAAAAGUCUGGCCACCUGUUACCAAAGAAAGCCCCAGUACAGAGCCAACAGGAUGCGCUCACCUU